GACCGUGUGAUCUGUAUAUCGUGAUUGUGGUGUUUAAACUCUCUUUAAAUGUAGGGGGUUGGUGGUGUGAUUGGCGAUAGUAUCAAUGAAUGCGAUGUGAAAACAGAAUAGGAAGUAUGACCAAUUUCAAUUUGCUUCGACUGGAGAAAAAUGAUUCGCCUUACCCGUUUAUCAUUUUUGAUGGGAGUACUAUUGUAUGACCCAUUUCAAUUUGCUUCGACUGCAGAAAAAUGAUUCGCCUUUACCUGUUUAUCUUUUUUGAUGGGAGUACUAUUGG